UGGCGUACGGGUGCGUAACGCGUAUACAACCUGCCUGUUACACGGGGAUAGCCUUGCGAAAGCGAGAUUAAUACCCGAUAGUACUAUCAGGUGGCAUCACUUGGUAGUUAAAGCUGAGGCGGUAACAGAGGGGUAUGCGUCCCAUUAGCUAGUUGGUAGUGUAACGGACAACCAAGGCUACGAUGGGUAGGGGUUCUGAGAGGAUGAUCCCCCACACUGGUACUGAGAUACGGACCAG
rnacentral:rRNA from 1 species